CCUACGGGAGGCAGCAGUGAGGAAUAUUGGUCAAUGGGCGUAAGCCUGAACCAGCCAAGUCGCGUGAGGGAUGAAGGUUCUAUGGAUCGUAAACCUCUUUUAUAAGGGAAUAAAGUGUGGGACGUGUCCUAUUUUGUAUGUACCUUAUGAAUCAGGAUCGGCUAACUCCGUGCCAGCAGCCGCGGUAAUACGGAGGAUCUGAGCGUUAUCCGGAUUUAUGUGGUUUAAAGGGUGCGUAGGCGGCCGUUUAAGUCAGCGGUGAAAGUCUGUGGCUCAACCAUAGAAUUGCCGUUGAAACUGGGGGGCUUGAGUAUGUGUGAGGCAGGCGGAAUGCGUGGUGUAGCGGUGAAAUGCUUAGAUAUCACGCAGAACCCCGAUUGCGAAGGCAGCCUGCCAAGCCAUGACUGACGCUGAUGCACGAAAGCGUGGGGAUCAAACAGGAUUAGAUACCCUUGUAGUC
rnacentral:rRNA from 1 species